rnacentral:rRNA from 1 species
AGAGUUUGAUCMUGGCUCAGGACGAACGCUGGCGGCGUGCUUAACACAUGCAAGUCGAACGAUGAAGCCCUUCGGGGUGGAUUAGUGGCGAACGGGUGAGUAACACGUGGGCAAUCUGCCCUUCACUCUGGGACAAGCCCUGGAAACGGGGUCUAAUACCGGAUAACACUCUGUCCCGCAUGGGACGGGGUUAAAAGCUCCGGCGGUGAAGGAUGAGCCCGCGGCCUAUCAGCUUGUUGGUGGGGUAAUGGCCUACCAAGGCGACGACGGGUAGCCGGCCUGAGAGGGCGACCGGCCACACUGGGACUGAGACACGGCCCAGACUCCUACGGGAGGCAGCAGUGGGGAAUAUUGCACAAUGGGCGAAAGCCUGAUGCAGCGACGCCGCGUGAGGGAUGACGGCCUUCGGGUUGUAAACCUCUUUCAGCAGGGAAGAAGCGAAAGUGACGGUACCUGCAGAAGAAGCGCCGGCUAACUACGUGCCAGCAGCCGCGGUAAUACGUAGGGCGCAAGCGUUGUCCGGAAUUAUUGGGCGUAAAGAGCUCGUAGGCGGCUUGUCACGUCGGAUGUGAAAGCCCGGGGCUUAACCCCGGGUCUGCAUUCGAUACGGGCUAGCUAGAGUGUGGUAGGGGAGAUCGGAAUUCCUGGUGUAGCGGUGAAAUGCGCAGAUAUCAGGAGGAACACCGGUGGCGAAGGCGGAUCUCUGGGCCAUUACUGACGCUGAGGAGCGAAAGCGUGGGGAGCGAACAGGAUUAGAUACCCUGGUAGUCCACGCCGUAAACGUUGGGAACUAGGUGUUGGCGACAUUCCACGUCGUCGGUGCCGCAGCUAACGCAUUAAGUUCCCCGCCUGGGGAGUACGGCCGCAAGGCUAAAACUCAAAUGAAUUGACGG